ensembl:lncRNA
UUAAAAAGUCAGUGCUGCUCCAAGAAAAGCAACUGAUGCUCUGCCAACAAUGUCUUAAAUUGAACUAACAAUUACUAAAAAUUAUUUUAUUCCUCUUAACCAAAGAACUGCUGCAUUAAUGGAGCUUCGGACAUGCUAACAGCACAGCAGGGCGUUGGUUUUUGUUACCUGACAUAAUGACAUCAAUGAGACCAAGCAUCAUUUCACCACUGAUGUGUUCUUCCUGAGUGAACAGAGCUACUGUGAAUAGGCUCAACCAAUCUGAAAUGAAGACUACAUGAGAGUGCUAACCAUAAUCAAGAAGAUGGGGAUGCCAGAACAAGUUCUACCUGGCAGCUGUGCUCCUUUUGAAGUGCAGUACACAUCAGCUAAGCAGAAAGAGAUUCUAAACACUGCUCUCCUGGCUCCGUUCAUCCCUUGGCAGGAAGGAAGGCAGGAGCAAACAUCUUGGACAACAGGGCUGCACAACAUGUCAGUGUGCUUGAGAUCAUUUCUGCAUUUUGCACCUAAAAGACAACACACUGCUAACAACUUUCUCAGCAGGCAACAGGAGCAGGGAGGGGAAGGAAACUGCAGCAGGCACUCCUGAGGGACUGAAGAGCAAUGACGGCUUCUAUCUGAAGAAUGCUGAGAAAAUCUAAAAAGUUAUUUUAAAGCUUCUGAAGAAUUAAUAGAACGAUGUCCGUAAACGUCCUCUCAGAAAUAUCAGAAUCCAGGGUGGGGUUUUACAGAAGUUGGAGAGGUACGAGAACUGAGGCUGAUGGCUGACUACAAUGAUUUUUUUUCCUAUAUUUCAUUGAAUCACAGAAUGGCCUGAGUUAAAAAGGAUUUCAAAGACCAUCUAGUUUCAAGCCCCCUGCUUUGGGCAUGGCCACCAACCACCAGACAGGGAGCACAUUUGCCCCUUGUUUUCACACUGGGAGUUGCAUAUUUGUAACUGAGGGAAGAACUGAGUGCAGUGUUAACAACGUUAGGUAAAUAAUGUUGCUAUUAGAUUUUUAGAACCUGUUCUUUCUUUUUUUUUUUUUUAACGUGUUAUGUAAUCACUCCUCUAAUGAGCGUUCGGCCAAUAAAGGUGAAACAAGUUGCUAA